rnacentral:lncRNA from 1 species
UGGGGCCUCUGAUUUCUACCUCCAGCACUUGGAUUCCAUGCUGGAGCAGGUAUCACCCCUAACUCCAAGAUUCAGCAUAAAUCCUGCCUGAUCUCUGUAUUCUCCAUAGUGGAACAUGCAAAAAAAUCACUGUCUGUGCUAGUUUGACAUGGUGGGUUGUCUCAGCAUUUGGGGAUCUUCUACUCCCCUCUGCUGCCCCAGCAACAUCACUGCCAACCACUGCAGCUCUCUCCUGUCCCCAUUGAAGUGAUGGGUUAAUGGUUGGAGUAGAUGAUCUUAACGGUCUUUGCAACCUUAAUGAUUCAAUGAUUCAGUGAUUCGAUGAUUAAAUGAUUCAGUGAUUCAACCAUUCAAUGGUUCAAUGAUUCAACGAUUCAACAAUUCAAAGAUUGUAAUAAACAAUAAACACAAGUCCUCACGCCAUCCCAACAGCAUCCCAUAGCUCACGUGCAGGGCGCUGGAGCCCCACAUCUCCUGCCUUCAAACACAACCAUGGGAGCAGAGCUCACAUGAGAUCCGCACCCAGACUUCGAAUAGCCGAGGAAGUGACACAAGAGAGAAGCAUUGAUUGGAUUCGAUGAGUCAAGAGGACAACUUGCCCGAAGGAGCACAAUCUGUUUGUAAAUAAACCCAUCACCAUUCAUCUGGAUGCCUUACAACCCACUUGGAAAAAUUAGAGACAGUAUAAAAGCUGCUUGGUUCCGUAGUCCAUCACUCGCUCAUCGUUGCGCUGUUGAACGUGUUAUCAGAACCAAGAAGGGGCCACUGCUCAGAGAUGUGUUCCAGACAGAGCUCCGGAGGCUGCCAUGAAUCAUCCUCCCAGUCUGGGGGAUGCUGCGGUGGGGGCAGCUCCUCCAGCUACCAGUCACAGGGCUCCUCCUGCUGCGGGGGCUCCUCCGGAUACAGCAUGGGAGGAGGAUACGGCAGUGGCAGUGGGGGAU